UACGGAGGGUGCAAGCGUUGCUCGGAAUUAUUGGGCGUAAAGCGCACGCAGGCGGCAGGAUAAGUCAGUUGUGAAACUCCCGGGCUUAACUUGGGAACUGCAGCUGAUACUGUUCUACUUGAGUACGGAAGAGGGGAGCGGAAUUCCCAGUGUAGAGGUGAAAUUCGUAGAUAUUCGGAAGAACACCAGUGGCGAAGGCGGCUCACUGGCCCGGUACUGACGCUGAGGUGCGAAAGCGUGGGGAGCAAACAGG
rnacentral:rRNA from 1 species